GGAGGGUGCAAGCAUUAAUCGGAUUUAUUGGGCGUAAAGGGCGCGUAGGCGGGAGUGCCAGUCAGAUGUGAAAUCCCGGGGCUCAACCCCGGAACAGCAUUUGAAACUACACUUCUUGAGGGUAGGCGGAGAAAACGGAAUUCCACAAGUAGCGGUGAAAUGCGUAGAUAUGUGGAAGAACACCGGUGGCGAAGGCGGUUUUCUAGCUUAUUCCUGACGCUAAAGCGCGAAAGCAAGGGGAUCAAACAGGAUUAGAUACCCUGGUAGUCCUC
rnacentral:rRNA from 1 species